rnacentral:SRP_RNA from 1 species
GCCGGGCGCGGUGGCUCAAGCCUGUAAUCCCAGCACUUUGGGAGGCCGAGACGGGCGGAUCACAAGGUCAGGAGAUCGAGACCAUCCUGGCUAACAUGGUGAAACCCCGUCUCUACUAAAAAAUACAAAAAAAAAAANNNNNNNNNNUUUUUUUUUUUGUAUUUUUUAGUAGAGACGGGGUUUCACUGUGUUAGCCAGGAUGGUCUCGAUCUCCUGACCUCGUGAUCCACCCGUCUCGGC